AAAAAGUAUUGAAAUAUCGCAGGCCACCAAAAUAUAUUAACCCCACCAUUCAUCAUACUACAUCAUGCACGAUUGAACGUGUACGCCUGAACGUAGCUGUCGAUGAUCUUUCCAACACUGCAGUACGUCAUCAAAAUAUUGUUCCAUUUACAAAUUGCUCAAUUAAGCCAUUAGACCAUGAUAUUUCGAAUAACUUUCCUCGUGCCGUGCUCCUGAUGGAGAGAAAAGAUUCAACAAAACCAACAUCUAUGAAAAUCCCUCAAAACACUUCAGUCGACGCAGCAGCAAAAAAAGCCCAUAGGCUCACCUUAAAGACGCUAUAUCUGAAAUACACAGAAUUUUAAAAGCAGAAUGGGAGAGAGAACUGCUCGCUUUUCCCCGCAAACUCAUUAAAACCAUAGUUCCGAAAAAAACUAAACUGAGAGCCAUUGUAUCGAUAGCGUCUCGCAUAUUAUUUUUCAUUGUAGAAAGUACAACACAACAAGGCACAACUUCGCAUCUCUAAGACAGUAUAAUGAUAUUUGCAAAUUUUUUGAUAAUCGUCGAAGAAAUUUAUGUAAAACUAUAGAAGUACUUUAACAUCUACUAUUUCACGUUCACAAAGCCGGGCGGCCAAAUAAUCCCACGGUAAUCUAGGGUAGCAUAGUAACUUAAACACCAUUUACAGACAAUGAUAGAGGAGCCAAGGGACGGCCCAAAACAUUUGGGUUUAAUGGACGGCCCGAAUCAGGCAGAAAGCAAAUACUGACAUAACACGCUGAGCCAGGAACAGGGAUGGAGCCGGGUCAGCGAGGAAGUAGGAAGCUCUGCACAGCCAGCCGCACAGAUGGAAUCGGAGCAACUGCAGCCAGCUGGCAAAGCUGCUACUACUGCACAAGCUAUACGACCAGCGAUUCUAUUCCGAUACCAAAUUCGUAAUUAUUGACCCCGAAAGCCCACGAGUGACGAGUUUCAAGGAAAUCUGAUUAUUUUUUCAAAUGAGUUCCCACCAUUCGACAAUAUAGGUUUUUUCAGGUUAGAAAAAAAACCUGACGUGAUGAAGCAAAUCUGACCUUGGAUUCGUGUGGAGGGCCAUAAAAUACAUAGGGAUGGGAUACUCUGGUCAGCGGCGCACGACACUUUUUUUGUGGGGCUGUGUUGUAUUAUCCAACAUUGCCAUAGAGAUUGAACCUUGAGCAUGUCUUUAAUACUUCAAUCUAAGGCUUUCAAGAAUUUUCUCUAUUUAACCGAUACAUUGUAAGAUAAAAACAAUUUUCGAGCAAA